UCUUUUACAGCUCUUCUUCCUCUUCUCUCGUCGUCUUCUCUUCUCCACUCUCUCUCGAUCAGUUCAUGAAGUUGUAAUCAUGUUUGGAUCAGAUGUAUGAGCCUGGCACUGGCGAUGGUUUGAUUUCAUCAAUGGAGAGACAUAAGAUGAGGCUCGCUCAGUAGAGCUCUGGUUUGAAUCAGCUUUAAGCUGCCCUCAUUAGGCUCAUUGUCAGAUCUGGGCAUCGGUUCUUAGAAUCAAAGAAAGGAGAUCAUUCAAUGAAAAAGAAGAAGAGAACACUGUGUUUCCUGCAACCUCCAUUCUUUCUGGUUAAAGACAAAGCUUGACGGAGGAGGCUCCUCGCCAUGACUUCUAGAAAGCCGUCCAUUUAGGUUAGUUUUGCAACUGAUUUUUAACUUAGACGACUUACA